rnacentral:rRNA from 1 species
AUUGAACGCUGGCGGCAGGCCUAACACAUGCAAGUCGAGCGAGCGGCGGACGGGUGAGUAAUGUCUGGGAAACUGCCUGAUGGAGGGGGAUAACUACUGGAAACGGUAGGUAAUACCGCAUACCAUCAGAUGUGCCCAGAGGGGAUUAGCUGGUAGGUCGGGUAACGGCUCACCUAGGCGACGAUCCCUAGCUGGUCUGAGAGGAUGACCAGCCACACUGGAACGGAGACACGGUCCAGACUCCUGCGGGAGGCAGCAGUGGGGAAUAUUGCACAAUGGGCGAAAGCCUGAUGCAGCAAUGCCGCGUGUGUGAAGAAGGCCUUCGGGUUGUAAAGCACUUUCAGCAGGGAGGCGUUACCCGCAGAAGAAGCACCGGCUAACUCCGUGCCAGCCGCCGCGGUAAUUC